rnacentral:rRNA from 1 species
ACUCCUACGGGAGGCAGCAGUGGGGAAUUUUGGACAAUGGGCGAAAGCCUGAUCCAGCAAUGCCGCGUGAGUGAAGAAGGCCUUCGGGUUGUAAAGCUCUUUUGUCAGGGAAGAAACGGUGAAAGCUAAUAUCUUUUGCUAAUGACGGUACCUGAAGAAUAAGCACCGGCUAACUACGUGCCAGCAGCCGCGGUAAUACGUAGGGUGCAAGCGUUAAUCGGAAUUACUGGGCGUAAAGCGUGCGCAGGCGGUUUUGUAAGUCUGAUGUGAAAUCCCCGGGCUCAACCUGGGAAUUGCAUUGGAGACUGCAAGGCUAGAAUCUGGCAGAGGGGGGUAGAAUUCCACGUGUAGCAGUGAAAUGCGUAGAUAUGUGGAGGAACACCGAUGGCGAAGGCAGCCCCCUGGGUCAAGAUUGACGCUCAUGCACGAAAGCGUGGGGAGCAAACAGGAUUAGAAACCCCUGUAGUCCCAU